rnacentral:rRNA from 1 species
GGCUUUUUGAGUAUAAUUUAAGGUCGGACCUGCCCAAUGAUUAAUUAAAUGGCCGCGGUAUAUUGACCGUGCAAAGGUAGCAUAAUCAUUAGUUUUUUAAUUGAAAGCUUGUAUGAAGGGUUUAAUGAGAAAAAUACUGUCUCUAUUUAAAUUUAUUAGAAUUUUAUAUUUGAGUUAAAAAGCUUAAAUUUUUAUUGAAGACGAGAAGACCCUAUAGAGUUUUAUAUUUUACGUAGUAAUUAGAUAUUAAGAAUUUUAAAGGUUAUUAUGGGAAGUAUUUAAUUGGGGUGAUUGAAAAAUUAGUUUAACUUUUUUUGUAUUUUUACAUUGAUUAAUGAGUUUAUGAUCCUUUAGUUAAGAUUAAAAGAUACAAUUACCUUAGGGAUAACAGCGUAAUUUUUUUUAGAGUUCUUAUCGAAAGAAAAGAUUGCGACCUCGAUGUUGGAUUAAAAUGAAUUGUUGGUGAAGAAGCUGAUAAGUUGGGUCUGUUCGACCUUUAAAUUUUUACAUGAUCUGAGUUUAAACCGGUGUAAG